AUUGAACGCUGGCGGAAUGCUUUACACAUGCAAGUCGAGCGGCAGCGCGGGGGCAACCCUGGCGGCGAGCGGCGAACGGGUGAGUAACAUAUCGGAACGUACCCCGUCGUGGGGGAUAACACAGCGAAAGCUGUGCUAAUACCGCAUACGACCUGAGGGUGAAAGCGGGGGAUCGCAAGACCUCGCGCGAUGGGAGCGGCCGAUAUCGGAUUAGCUUGUUGGUGAGGUAAAGGCUCACCAAGGCGACGAUCCGUAGCUGGUCUGAGAGGACGACCAGCCACACUGGAACUGAGACACGGUCCAGACUCCUACGGGAGGCAGCAGUGGGGAAUUUUGGACAAUGGGCGAAAGCCUGACGCAGCCACGCCGCGUGAGUGAUGAAGGCCUUCGGGUCGUAAAACUACUGUCGGGAGGGACGAAGGGGAAACUCUGACGGUACCUCGCAAGAAAGCACCGGCUAACUCUGUGCCAGCAGCCGCGGUAAU
rnacentral:rRNA from 1 species